GGGCGUGGCCAGGUGGUUUCGCCUUAAAAUGGCUUCAAGCCUGAGGACAGCCAGAGCCAGCGGAAGGGCACACCACGGCACGACUAAUGUAGCUGUUCAGAUUCCGAAGCUCGCCCCACCACCGUCACCGCACCAGUGGCUCCAGCUUCGUGGGACCCACAGGGCUAAUCCUGCCCUGCGGAUCUAAUCCGGAUCGGGACCUGGUCCCAGGGGAGGUGCCCACCUUCCCUCCUAUUGUUCUGGGGCCCAGGUGCGCCCUCAGGCUGCAGAUGGCAAGAGUAGACAUGGAAGAGCUGGGGCUGGUGUCCCUCACUGGAACUCCAUGAGAGCUUUGGUGAGGGAGGACCUGGGUCCAUCGGGUAGGGCUGCAAUGGCGGUGAGUCCUACAGGACGCCCCAGCCCACGGCUUGCUAAAGAUAGCCCUUCACUUCCUGGGGAAAAACCACCCCAACCGUCUUCUUGGACUGAGAGUAGCUGAGGUCCCCAGCUUGCCGGUGGGCCCCUGCUAGCAGCUGUCUCCAGGUCUUUCGCCUGUGGCAUGGAAAGUGCUUUGGAAUGACACGAUCACUCCCGUUGAGUGGGCACCCAAGAAGCCAUCGGGAAUGUCGUGUCCGCCCAGUGCUCUUUCGGAGCCUUCCAACAGGGCCUCAUAACCCCAGACCAGAAAGGGACCUUGCUAACCUUUCCCUCUCCUUAGAAUUCCCUCUUUGUCCAACCUCUGGGCACGUCCCCUAUUCCAGAGAUCAUGAGUUAGGUUCAAUCGCUAUUAGAAGGGCAGCACAGGCUUAAGUUACAUUAAAAUGAAACCAUUUGGAAUCCUUUUGGUAUACAGAAAAAGAGCUUUCCUGCUCGUAUAAAAGCAGGAUACUCCUAUGACUUGUUUAGUUGAGUCUUCUCAUGGUCACAUUGUUUAUUUAUGUAUUAUUUUAAUGCUUACUCUUAGUAUUAAAGGUUCGCUAGUGAAGUACACA